rnacentral:rRNA from 1 species
CUACGGGUGGCAGCAGUGGGGAAUAUUGCACAAUGGAGGAAACUCUGAUGCAGCAACGCCGCGUGGAGGAUGACACUUUUCGGAGCGUAAACUCCUUUUAUAUAGGAAGAAGAUGACGGUACUAUAUGAAUAAGCGCCGGCUAACUCCGUGCCAGCAGCCGCGGUAAUACGGAGGGCGCAAGCGUUACUCGGAAUCACUGGGCGUAAAGAGCGUGUAGGCGGAUUAAAAAGUCAGAAGUGAAAUCCUAUAGCUUAACUAUAGAACUGCUUCUGAAACUCUUAAUCUAGAAGAUGGGAGAGGUAGAUGGAAUUUCUGGUGUAGGGGUAAAAUCCGUAGAGAUCAGAAGGAAUACCGAUUGCGAAGGCGAUCUACUGGAACAUAAUUGACGCUGAGACGCGAAAGCGUGGGGAGCAAACAGGAUUAGAUACCCUGGUAGUC